rnacentral:lncRNA from 1 species
CCGACUCAAAGCAUCACAGAGCUCUAAUCUUUUUCUUCAGAAGUCUCCCCAUAUACAACAGAACAAAACCCCAAGUACUUAUUUUGGCAUUCAAGACCUUUUACAACUUGUCCUAAACUAUAUCCACUCUCCUCCACUCCAAAUUUCCACUACUUCAAGUCCUCUAUGCUCCAGUCACACUGAAUGGUAGCUCAAUAUUGCCCAAACAUGUGGGCAUAACCUUGCAUUGCAAUGUUCUUUCAUAACUAACUGCAUAUGCUAUUCUUCCCAGCUACGCUAUGAGCAUCACAAAGGAAGAGACAACAACUGAUUCAUCUUGUCCUUUCCAGAUCUAACCCUGGGACUGGUAUUAAGUGAGUAAUUAAAUAAAUGUUUGUUGAAUUGAAUUGAAUGUGCUUGGAAACCCUAGGGAAAAUCCUCCAGAAUCCUUCUGGGAUUGUAACUGUUCAGUGAAGAGUUACUUAGAAUUAGAAAUUAACCUUUUUUGAGGCUGUUCCUUAGAAGUAGAAAUUAACCUAUUUUGUUAAGAAAACAUUAGGAUGGAUACAUUGUCUCUUUCACUUGCUUUUGGAAAAUACCAGGAAAAAAAAAGAAUGCUGAAAUGUAGCAAAUAUUCUAAAGGUUUAUGGUAUUAUAAUUAGGGGGUGGGAGGAAAAAGGGGAGGUAAAGUAGGUGGUAUAAUAGAAAUUUUUGCAAUCUGGUCUUGAAGGAAAUGAGAAGAGCUAAAUCAGAUAUCCUGGACUUUCUAUGGACCUGCCUUCAAUGGAGGGAGGGCACUUCACAAUUGUUCAUCAGUUUUUGUCAAGAUAUUCUCAGGAGGUCUGAAUGAUUGCUAGUUUUGUUAUAUGUGCUGUUGCCUCAUGCAACCUAGUCCUAAGGUAGGAGACAGGAAC